rnacentral:rRNA from 1 species
UACGUAGGGUGCGAGCGUUGUCCGGAAUUAUUGGGCGUAAAGAGCUUGUAGGCGGUUUGUCGCGUCUGCUGUGAAAAUCCGGGGCUCAACCCCGGACUUGCAGUGGGUACGGGCAGACUAGAGUGUGGUAGGGGAGACUGGAAUUCCUGGUGUAGCGGUGAAAUGCGCAGAUAUCAGGAGGAACACCGAUGGCGAAGGCAGGUCUCUGGGCCACUACUGACGCUGAGAAGUGAAAGCGUGGGGAGCGAACAGG